rnacentral:lncRNA from 1 species
CCCAUGCUCAUGGGUUGGCAGGAUUAAUAUAGUAAAAAUGGCCAUUUUGCCCAAAGCAAUCUACAGAUUAAAUGCAAUCCCCAUCAAAAUUCAAUUCUACAUAGAGUUAGAAAGAGCAAUUUGCAAAUUCAUUUGGAAUAACAAAAAACCCAGGAUAUCGAAAACUCUCCUCAACAAUAAAAGAACUUCUGGGGGAAAUCACCACCAAAGUUCCUUUGUAAAAGGUAAGUGAAAAUUAAUUCAGGAUUCUUUCAGGAAUCUAAAUUCUCCUUGUAGGACAUUCUCAACCAGGUGCCCCUAGUUUUUGUUUUUGUUUUGGUGUUUCUUAUAAUACUUGGUAAUGUCACUUUAUUAACCUGAAAUGAGAUUCCCAGAUCAGUAUAAUCUACAUUCUUAUAAUUUUAAGGAAAGACUGUAAAUGUAAUGCCCUAACUAUGAUAUAAAGAAUAAAAUGAAUUUAUGAAAAUG